AAUGUUAAGUUAUGCUCGUAAAUUCUAGAUCAAAAUGUCAAUGUGAAAAUCAAAAAAAAUAUUCAAUUCGAUACAAAUCAAAAAUAUAAACAUAUAUGGGUUAUGGGUUCGAAAAUAUCUGCUUCUAUGCUUUACACAUCCGUUGUUAAUCGAAUAAAGCAUCAACUGCUUGUAUACUAAAUACUUUAUAGAAAGUAAUGAAAGAGUAUGUAAAUACCCAAUGUGAAGACAGAAGACAACAGCAUUGAGACGGGUUGCUGCAGCUUCUCAUUAUUGAUAGCUGUCCAUUUAUCAUGCCGACUAUUUUAUCUAUAUUUCACCCACCCUUGCCCAAACACCUGAUAAGCGUUCCAAAAGUCAACGAUCUUGAGCUUGGUGUCGCAUUGCCCACUUUUUCAGCUGUUACUUGAACGUUAUGGGAUUGCUCACAGCACUAUUUAUAGAAUAGCAUGACUUUGGAACAGGUAGUUGCAUGAUUUCAUACACCCAAAUGAGCAAUGCAAACAAAUAAGCAAAUGGAAUGGCAAAAAUGCUAUACUUAACGCUUCACCGGACAAAUGGGAGGGAUGUUAAACUAUAGAGAAUGCAUAAACAGGCAUGGGAAUCAAAUGGCUAAAGUUACGCCCCACUGGGGCGUAACAGCUCACGAUUGGCAUGAGAAAGCAGAAAAAUAAUGCUAACAUACUUUACUGCAUCUACUAAGUGUACAAGUUACAAGUUCACAAUAUAAAUAUAUAUUUUAUAUUGACAAAUAAAUAUAGUACAACUUAACAUCUUUUCAUAACCUUAUGACAAAUGGAAA